AGUUGAGUCUAGGCUCGAGCGCGAGCCUAGAGUCUAGAUCUACUACGUUAGUACUUACGUACUCCUAGUACUAGAUUUAAAUGUUACAUGACCCCCUCGUAAGCUCUUUCCAUGUUCAUGUUAUAAAUACGAGACUGAGACUUGCAUAGUAAAGCCAGGUAUGCUUGAAUGAAUAAACAAUUUUGUGCUUGCUAAUAAUUUAAAGGGAAAUCCAACCAUGAGAAUUGAGAUGAAGUGGCUUAAUUUCAGCAAAUGCAGAAAAAUGAAGCAAAUACAUUUCAUGUUUCUUCCCGGUUUUACCAGUAGAAUAGCCGGCUGAGAGGACCAUCACUAGCACUCCCAGGCCCAGUGGCUGAUGUCUAAGUAGGAGUUUGACGUGGAGAGCUUUUAGCAUGUUGUUGAGUUUACCAGUAGAAUAGACAGCUGGGAUACGCAAGAGAUGAGGGACCACUAGCACCCCCAGUGGUUGAUGUCCAUGUAGGAGUUUGUGCAGCUGAUGUGGAGAGCUUUUAGCAAAUUGACAAGCAUCUUCACCCUCUGCCCUUGAACUGAUUGCUUUUCCAAUACCACGGUUUGGAGGUCAGACCAAACGACUGACCGACCGACCGACUGAAUAGCUAAGUCCCCUCAGUCAUCAAAGGAUGGACAAAAAUACAGAAGUUAUUGUUAGGUGGGAUCGUGAUGGAGAGAUCAAAUGUGGCAAGAAACGAGAUCUUCGAUAUAACGGAAGGCUUAGGGUGGGUUCAAGAGUCACUAUGAGCUAGAUGGAUGUGGACUGGACGGGGACUGCAACGCUGACAGGAGACUCUGACUCCGAAUGUGCCUCCAUUUAGAGGUUUUGUGGUCUAGUGGAUAAGUCGUUGGACUGUGGAUCACAGGAUCCAUGGUUCAAGUCCUGCCACAGCAGUAAUGUCUUUUGGCAAGAUAUUAAUCUAAAUUUGCCACUCUGCUGUGAGCACUGAAAGCGGCUGCCUAGCAGAGCCAGGGUAAUAGUUGGAGCGCCUUGAGCAUAUUGUUAUUAUUAUUUUGACAGUGACAACCUCCCUCCUUCCUCACUAAGAACAGCACAGACUAAGGUCAUCCAUCAUAUGAAAGUUGCAUGUAAGAAGUUUUAAUCCCAUAAACUUACAGUGUUGUAUGUUUUUAGAAGGAUUUGGCAUGUAGGACUAAUAUUAAUUGCUAAUAGUUUAUAUUUCAAAGGGCAAUCCAACCUCUGUAACAAGUUGAUUUAUGUUAAAGCAGAACAAAAUGAGUGUAAUAGACUGGUAAAAGUUUGAAAGAAAUCAGACAUAGAAUAAGAAAUAAUGGUUGAAAAGUUAGAUUACAACAUCUAUGUAAAUCUCAGAUCUGCAAUUUUAUGAGGCAACAGGGACGUAUGCAGCUGACAACUUUGUAUGUCAUACACACAACAUAUAAAUAAUUAAUGAUUUUCUUUUAAGCUCCUCUUCCAUUGUGGCAGUACUCAAACUAUAUUGUAACCCUCCCUCCCCCUAAUCAGUGGCCUUGUGAAUUUGCAUUUCAGAAUUUUCCAAGAACACCGGUACCCCCUUCUUUAUAGAGCUACCAUGUUGUAUUUUUUGCCAUGAGUGUGGGCUACAGUUAAAUAAGUUGCAAUUUU
rnacentral:lncRNA from 1 species